rnacentral:rRNA from 1 species
UACGGGGGGGGUAAGCGUUGUUCGGAAUUACUGGGCGUAAAGGGCUCGUAGGCGGCCAACUAAGUCAUACGUGAAAUCCCUAAGCUUAACUGGGGAACUGCGUGUGAUACUGGAUGGCUUGGAUUUGGGAGAGGGAUGCGGAAUUCCAGGUGUAGCGGUGAAAUGCGUAGAUAUCUGGAGGAACACCGGUGGCGAAGGCGGCAUCCUGGACCAAUAUUGACGCUGAGGAGCGAAAGCCAGGGGAGCAAACGGG